rnacentral:rRNA from 1 species
UACGGGGGGGGCAAGCGUUGUUCGGAAUUACUGGGCGUAAAGGGCGCGUAGGCGGCCUGUUAAGUCGGACGUGAAAUCCCUCGGCUCAACCGGGGAACUGCGUCCGAUACUGGCGGGCUUGAAUUCGGGAGAGGGAUGUGGAAUUCCAGGUGUAGCGGUGAAAUGCGUAGAUAUCGAGAGGAACACCUGCGGCGAAGGCGGGUUGCUGGGCCGACACUGACGCUGAAGCGCGAAAGCCAGGGGAGCGAACGGG